ACAGUUUAACAUUUUCUUUAGUGGUGCAACCUUGUUCUGAGAUUACAGGGAAUGCUGAGUUUUAUUAGGGUUCUUUCAACAAACUCAUUUAAUUGUUGCUGCCCCUUAGCUAGUGCUGAGUCACUCUCAAACUUCACAGCAUUCCACGACAGCUCAUCCUUCUUGACUUUCCUUUUUUUUUCCCUUUUCCUUUUUCCUUUUUUAAGUUCUCUUAAUAUUUUUUAUUCCCAACAGACUUGUCUUUGGACAAAAUUGAGAAGAACUCAUAAACUUGGCUUCCUCGCUUCUGCUCCUCAGACGCGCGUGGAUGAUUUGAAGAUAUUAGCCUAACAAGAUGGAAGCAGGUUUAAAAUUUUACAUAAGAAGUUACCUUUUUCAGUUGUGUUGAUGUUCCUUUCAGCUGGUCCUAUAGUACCCCUCCUCAGGAAUGUCUCCCCAGUGCAAGGACAAAGACUGAAGAGACUGCUAUAUUGAUGGACUCUCAAGCCAACUAUGAAGUUGAAACAAAGAAAGUGAUCACCUGAAGACACCUCCUCUGCUAAGAAACACCCCCAAAUUGUGCAGCUUCUGCCACUAGAACUCUCAGAACAAGAGACAAUCUUUUCAAGAAACAGAAAAACUCAAUAAUGACAUCUAGAUUUUCAUGAGCCAAGAACUUUCCCUUCCUCAUGUGUAUUCCUCUGUUUGUACUUAAAUUCAUGUGACAUUCAUUUUUUUCCUAGUAUGGAUAUGCUUAUUAAUGCACUUGUUUCAAAAUCCCAAAUUGCACAAAUGUGUUAAUAUUUUAAGAAACAAAAUGAAUCCUACAAGGAGAAUGAUUUUUAGCCACACAUAGGGUUGGAUCUUGAGAGUGACCUACAGAAUAAAAGUACUUUUAAAAUAAAGUAGUCAGAGGCUAUUCAAAGGGUAAAAUAAUCAUAGUACCACAUUGGUCCACUUGACACUAACCAAUCGAUCAUUUUUUUUUAAUCAAGAAAGCUAGAUUCUAUCAGAUAAAAUCACUGCUUCUAAAGAGUUUAAAUCUAGUUAGAAAAAGUUAUAGAAAUGUUUGCAAAGAUAAGUAACAGAUAGAGUCAGUAGAGGAUAAGAUCAAAAACAAAACCAAGCAAAAGAUGAGUUCAGGGGAGUUUGCCAUCAAGUUGGCAAAACUGACUUACUUAGGGAAGAAAGUUAUAAAACAGGAAAAUAUGAGAUGAACCUUGAGUGAUGUGGAAGAUUUAGAUAAAUGGAAAGGAAGGAGAAAAUGGAGUUCUUUAGGUGGUUGUAAUUGGAGGAGGAAAUGAAUACACACAUCUUGUUGACUUAAACCCAGACAUUCAGCAGCUCUCUAUACAUAUCUGGAAAAGACUGCACAGUCACCUCCUGUCUCUCACCCCAGGUAUUACUUAGAAUUAUUAUCAUAUUUCCCUUCCUUUAAAGUAAGUAAGGGUGAUUGGUGACAAUAUGGAGAACUAUGAUUUUUCCAUUAACCUAAUAAUAAUUGGUAUUUAUUGAGUUCUGUUAAGCAUUUUACAUAUUAACUCACUUAAGCCUUUCAACAGCCUUGCAAAAUAGGUAUUAUUAUCCCCAUUUUACAGGCAAGAAAACUGAGGUUUAAGUAACUUGCCGAAGUGCCAUAUACAGGGCUCACAUUCAGUAUUGCAGUUGCAAAGCUCAUGAUCUAUAGUGCCAAGUUGCAAUAUUGUAGUCAAUGUCACAAUUAUUACCCCUUUUUAUAUUCCUUGAUAUUUUUCCAUGGCAAACAAUUAGCUAUUUCAUUUAAUAAUCACCUAAAACUUUUCAGUCUUCUGAUUAAAAUUACGCUGGAGUGAUAGAAUGUAUUUUCAUGAUAGAAAUUGGGAAAAAAAAUGGGGAAUGAAGUUUAUCAGCAUUUCAGACUUGUUUUUUUUUUUUUUUUUUGCAAGACUUUGAUGAGAUUGUUCACUUUUGUCUAUGUAAAAUCCCAAAUCCUUGAGAAUAAAAAAGGGGGAGGUUUAAGUCACUUGUUGCAAUGCCCUUUUUAAUAGAGGCAAUAAAUCUAAAGGCCAUAAAUUUAGAGUGACUUACAGAAGAUCGAACUUUGGAGUGUGGCAGAGUAAGGGAUGGAAACCGGGCCCUCCAGUUCACUAUCAGUAGCUUUUGCACUGGUCUGCCCUUCCUAAAUUAAGUAUGCACUUCAAUUUGAUGAGUGGAAACAGUCUAUCUGGGCAGUAACCAGGGAGCUUUGUGCCUAGUAGAUUGCUUCUGUUCUGCACUUCUUUGGUUUCCCACCUCAAUGUAAAAAAUAGCUAGCAAUGAAGUCCAGAAGUUGUCAAUGGUUCAUCCCCAGAAGAAUGCAUAAUGUCCAAAGUUGUAUGUGUAUGAUGUCUUCAAUGGUAUUAAGUUAUUUCAAAUUCUUAGUUCACCUACAUAAAUCAUUUCUAACAAGCAUCUUCUUAACCAACUUUAUGCACAGUGUAUGUUUGUAAGUGCUUCUGCACGAAUGUUUAUACAUGACUGUUUCCAUAGUACUUAUGUUUUUAAAAAUAUUCAGUCAUUUCCUACUAUAAUCCUCAUGUAUCCAUGUAACUGACUCAAAAAUACUUCAGCCACAGAAAGCUAAAACUGAGCAAAUCUCAUUCUUCUUUUCCAUCCCCUUUGCAUGUGGCUGGCAUUUAGUAAUGAUUAAUAAUAUGGCCAGCUGAAUAACAGAGGUUUGAGACACAAUUCUUUCUCAAAGGAGUCAGCUAAGCUGGGUCUACUUAUGGACAAACAUCUAAAUGUGUGGAAGUAUCUGAUAUUUGACAAUGGUAAAUUUCCACUUAGCUAGCUAGCAUUGUCAGACUUCAAUCUCCUCAUGGCUCUGGCCGUCCUGUUUUAAGCAUGAUAAUUGUUGGCCACAUCUCACAUAGUUCUCAUUGAGUGAGUUCAUAAAUAAACAGGGUUUUUUUUUUUUUUUAAAGAGCAGCCAAGCACAAAGUGUGACUUUGUUGACAUUUUAUGUGACUUUGUCAUAUGUUCCUAACCCCCAAUAAAAGCAAUGUUGCAUCAACUGUGAAUUUGUGUUGAUUUCUUGAAAAAGCAUGCUCUUAUAAUUUAUUUGUUUUCACUAGUGUAUAUCAAAGUUAGUUUCAAGAUCCACGAGGAACAAGUCAGCUAAUGUGAUAGGAAAAUUUAAAUGUGGAGACAACUUCUAAAGGAUCCCAUGUUACCUUUAAAUAAAAGGUACUGUCAUCUACCAAGUCAGAAACCAAGGUCUGGUCCUUGUCUCUUCCAUCUCCGCCAGCCAUGGUCAAUCACUCAGGUAAUCUUUUGAUUUUUUUUCUCUUUCCAUUGUUCAAAUAUGUCUACUUCUCUCCAUCUAUGCUACUGCAUUAAAGAACAACACUCAUUUCUCACCUGGACUACAGCACCAUGCCUCCAGUUUUCCUCUCCACACUGCCAAGGGGCAGCCGGGGAAAUCUCUCUAAACCACGAAUAUGAUUGUAUUAUUCCAUGGCUUCAAACUCUUCACUGGCUUCCCAUUGCCCUUGAGAUAUCGUGACACCUAAAGCCCUUCAUGCCCUGAUCCUGGCUCCAACAGUCCUCUCUGGACUCAUCAACUCUUCAGCCCCUCUGUGAUUCUAGGCUCGUGCCAUCCACCUGCCUUUUCUUAAUGUUCCCUCUAUCUUCUGGGCUUUCUCACACACUUCAGCUUCUACCUAGUACUUUCUCCACUACACCUUCCAAACUCCAUCCCUCAUCCUUCACAUCCCAUCCUAGAAGUCAUUUUCUCUGGAAAGUUUUCACCCCAACCUCUACCAGCGCUAAGACUAGCUUCCCCACCUAGGCGCUUUCAUGUCAUUCUGAGCUUACCUCGUAUUAGCAUUUAUCUUCCAGUGUUGUGCUCAUAUUUGAAUAUGAGAUUCUAGAGCUGCACCAUUCAACAAGGUAGCCACUCAUCAUAUGUGGCUAUUUCAAUUUCAAUUAAUUAAUAUUAAGUAAAAGUAAAAAUUUAGUUCCUCAGUUGCAUUGCUCACAUCGCAAGUUCUCAAUAGCCACAUGCAACUGGUGGCCACUCUGUUGAACAGCACAGAUAUAGAACACAUCUAUCACUGAGAAACUUCCAUUGGAUAGUGCCACUCCAGAAGAUAAAUGCUAUGUUUUGCUUGUUAUUUUAUCCUCCAGACUUGCAGCCCUUUCUUAACUGGGGUUUGCUAUGUGAACCACAGAGAACAAAGAUAUGAUUUGAAUGCUAUUUCCUCAAUUCUCCCAAGAAUGAUAUAUUAAAAAUACAAUUUUACAUGCAAAGGAAGGAAAAUAAUUCAUCACGGGUAAAGACGCUCAGAGCAUUAGGGUUCAAUUCUAGCAUAAAACCCUGGUCAGGAAAGUCUACGAUAGCCUACCACAAUGCUUGGCAUCAAAAGUACUUCGUAAGUGUCCGCUGAAUGAAUAUCACACCUGGACACAUAAAGACAAUUAGUUUUCUUAAUUUUUACCUAGAUGUGUAAAGUCAUGUAGGAGACAUGUCUUUAGCUUCCAAAGGGCCCCUUCUCUAGAGAAUGUGAUAGACAAUUUUUUAAAAUUUCAUCCUAAGGAUAGGUGAAUUGUAUUGCAGCAAAAUAUUACCUAUUAUUUCACUUUCUUUUGACGUUAUACAGACCAAAAAAAGAAGAGAAUUGAGCUCUUAUUAAGUGAAUGAGAUGAACAUAAAAAUGAUUAAAGUAGAUACAGCCAUCUACUUUGAUAUGCCCUAUAUCUUUUAGUAAUUGGCCAAAGUUUCCUAAAAAUAUUAACUAUUUACUGAGCACCUACUACGUGCUGGGCACUUUGUUCAGGUUUGAGGAUACAGGAAGGAACAAGAUGGACACAAUUCUCACACUCAUAAUAGAUAACAUUAAUAUGAUUAUUUCAGUUCCUUACUGCACUGUAUCCAAAGCAUGAGUUUUAAACCCUGGCUGUAUAUCGUAACCACCUGGGGAGUUUUGAAAAUACUGAUACCUGGGACAGAUUCUGACUUAGUUGGUGUGAGUGUGGCCUAGGAAUUUGAAUUUUCUAAAGCUCCGCUGGAGAUUGGAAUGUGCAGGCAAAGUUGAGAACUGUUGACUUACGGGAACAUAAUCUUAGACUCAGCUCAGAAAAUCGAGAGUUUUUGGUAUCAAUAAUUGAUAGCAUAUUAGAAGGAAAACCAUCUGUUUAACACAGUUUUGUUUAUUCCUCAGAAUAUAAACUGAUACUUAACAGUUACUGAGUUGUCCAGGUCAAACAGCCAGGUCAUGAUUGAGAUAAGACCUGACCCCCAGGUUUCUGAUUUUAACACAACACUCUUCCUGCUACACUAACUAUCUCAGGGAAAUGGAAAAUAUAAUUAUUUUCAAAUCAAGAGACAACCAAUAUCCACUGUAGUCAUAAUUUUUAACAGCAAAAUUGAAUUUGGACCAAUUUGAAUCCCAUAUACUCAAAUAAUUCUGCUAAUCUGCUAAUCAAACGUGAAAAUGCAGCUCCUUUAAAAAUAUCCAUAUAUAUAUGUAUAUAUAUAUGUAUACAUAUACAUAUACAUAUAUAUACACAUAUAUAUGCCCAUAACGAGGGUACAGAGGAUGCUCAUUUCUCCAGGAAUCCUGAGCACAUUUUUACAAAUUCAAAAAUCAAUAUACAUAUAUUAAACUCCACUAGAAGGAUAUUUUGCCUUUAAACUUGAAUAACUCAAUAGCAGAAAUGGUAGUGGGAAGGCAAAAUUAAAAAUUGCAUUGUGCUCCCACAUUAUCUGUCCCCACCCAACUUAUUAUAUUCCAUUCCAUUCCAUUUCACAUUUCACAGUACAGGUAAAAUUGACACUCUGUCCCCAUGAGAAAAGUUCAUAUUAAAAAAUAACCACUAUAAAAAAUAGUUACUUCUCACAGUUACCACCAUGCAUCGCUUUUAGAUUCUACUCAUAGAUCAAGAGAAUCCUGGAACUCUGUCGUCAAAUCUGCUCUUCUUCAUCCAUGUAAAAACCACAUAGUGAAAAUGUGCCGUUCCAUAUUUUAAAGGCAUCAAAAUAAAACUAAUGUCCACAUGCUUCCUUCAAAAUGGAUUUCAGUGUUUGAGAUUCCACACAGUUGGGAAAUUCUUAUUUCUAUUCCAAAUCCCUCACGCUGUAGUUUAAUCCCAUUUUCUCUUGUUCCCUGUGGAGAGAAAGAACAGCCGGCCUCCAUUCUUUUAAACUCAAUCCCUUCAUGUCCUUAAAGACAACUACCUCCCAGCCUUCUCUUCUCUGGAAUAAAUAAGAACAGUUCCUAUCAGGAAAACGUCUCUCUUGGAUUGUGCAUAUUCCCUGCCAUAUCACAGAUAUUCAUGCUCAUCACAUAAUGCUCAUAGCUAAAACAAGCCAAGGCCAAGAGCAAAAACAAGCAAAUGUAUCAUUGUUUUCAUGAAUGAAGUUACAGAACCAAUAAUAGACACUGAAUAAAUAGUUGAAAAUGAUGAUCUUCCAAUAAUUGUGUGCCAAAAUUAUCAUAAUUUCUUUUACAAGUAUUGGCAAUGUGUUGCUUUUAGAGAGGUGAAUUAAAAAUUAAAUGAUUAGGUUUCAAUUUCUUUUAUGCAAGUUCUCCCCAUGCCCUGCAAUGGAAUAUUCCAUUCAGCAUUCCACAGCAGGAACCACCAUUGCUUUGACAAAAAUAGAUACAGUAUUGGAACAUUCAGUCAAUGGAGUAAUCCAAUUGUCUGAACAUUCUUUUCUGCUUUGUCAUUUACAUUUUAAUAAAUCCCAGAAUAUGUCAAGCUGUAUCCAGUCGUACCAAGUGUAGCUAACCACAUGCAGUUACCAGAUGCAAUGAGGGAAUCAUAACAUGCAACUCCUACAAUGAAUCAACAUUUGGUUUGUGUAUAUUUUUAGGCUCCUACAUUUUAAAUAGGGAUACUUUUAAAAAUGAAAAAUAGAUAUUUUGAAAAAUCUGUUAGUAUAUUGUAUAUUCAGCUUUUACAAAGGAAGUUGUGGGCAAAGGGUGCACUAUUUAAUUGAUCUAGGAAUUCUGGCAUCUGCUAACCUCAAGGAAAACACUAUAUAUAGAUAACAACAAUGUGGAAUGUCAAAUUAUUAUUUUAUGCGUAUUUCUCUGCCAGUUUACUCUCUCUUCAUUUAG
rnacentral:lncRNA from 10 species